rnacentral:misc_RNA from 1 species
CCGAAAAGGCGGCUAGCAUCCGCUCCACAACUGCUACUCUGCCGGUAUAUGCCGUCAGUUGUACAACCCCGCGAAAGUAGAAUUGCUCUUAUGCGAUGUCGGGCCAGGGGCGUCUCGCCGAGCGUAGUCCGCCGUCACAGGCGAGCGGCGCUCGAACCAAAGCGUACCCCACAUUUUUCAACCCCUCCAAACUCUGAAUCUGAACUCAAAAGGGAGGCGUGUCCGCCGCGGGUCUCUUCCCGUUUACGGGAGUCCCCCCAGCGCCGCCCCCUCAACCNUUUAACGUU